rnacentral:misc_RNA from 1 species
GGAAGUAAAAGCGUAACAAGGUUUCCGUAGGUGAACCUGCGGAAGGAUCAUUAGUGAACGCCCUCACGGGCUUAUAACUAUUCCAAACCUCUGUGAACCGUGCCCUUCGGGGCUAUUUUACAAACAUGGUGUAAUGAACGUCAUAUAUCAUAACAAAACAAAACUUUCAACAACGGAUCUCUUGGCUCUC